GGGCGUUUACGGAGACGAAAAUCUCACUUUUCAUGCAGUGAGGAUAGCAGCAAGCUCCAGGACAUUGACAAGAAUGGCAAAAGUACUCUGAAAGGUUGUCAAAUUACAUACCAGACUAGUCUCUAACUUUGAUUAGGUAUAAAACAGGUACACAAGUCACCACUCUAAUCAAUUGGAUUCUACAUCGCUGCAGAAUUAUUUGGUACACCCAGUGACACAUGCAAUGCAACUUUAUUCCUAAACGUUACCAUACAUAUUAAUCAAAUUCCAUACUAAGGCAUAGUUAUACCUCAAGAUGCUUAUAUUUUAUUUUCAAAUUUGAAGGUCUGCAUUGCUGCUGUCAAGCGACAGAGGAAAAGAUGUAUGAGGAUUGGUGGUCGUCAUCAAGUUGUUGUUAUUGACGAGAGCAAAUUUGCCCACAAACGAAAGUACCAUCAUUGUCGAUGUGGCAACACUUGGCGCCGUGAACGGCAGUGGGUCUUUGGGAUGUUGGAGGUCGACAAGAAGUCCAGAAGACCCAUUCUGAGACUUGUCAGGGAUCGCAGAAGGAAGACACUUAUAGGUCAUAUUAGACGCCAUGUCAGACCCAGAACAUCCAUCCUCAGUGAUGAAUGGCGUGCCUACAAAGGGCAACUUGCCCAGUAUGGGUAUGAUCAUUAUUCGGUCUGCCAUAAAAACAACUUUGUGGACCGAGAGACUGGUGCUCAUACUCAGCAUAUUGAGCGUGCAUAGUAAAGCUACAAGCUGGAAGUAUGGCGUCACAGAGGGAAUCGUACUCCUGAAUCACUCAAGCUUCAUCUUAAGAUGAUAGAAUGGCACCACUGGUUGGGUGUACACCAUUACAAUGGCGUGUUGGGCAGACUUUUCCAUGAUUUUUUUUUUUUUUACUUUACUUUUUACUGAUGUGAAAAAACUUGUUUUUUCACAUCAGUAAAAAGUAAAGUAAAAAAAAAAAAAAUCUCAACAAUGUCUGCUGGCAUUUAUGCAUCUAUGUUGUGGCGUUAAACUCAUUAUAUGUUCUCCUGAGCAGAUCCUUGCUUGUGUUUUACAAACUGUCACUGGAUGAACAUCACAACAAAAUGUUUUGUUUUGAAAUACAUAAAGGAAAAACUAUCUCUUGA